rnacentral:rRNA from 1 species
GAAGGUCACACCCGUUCCCAUCCCGAACACGGUAGUUAAGCUUCUCCGCGCCAAUGGUAGUUGGGGGUUUCCCCCUGUGAGAGUAGGUCGCUGCCGGGC